rnacentral:rRNA from 1 species
UACAGAGGGUGCAAACGUUGCUCGGAAUUAUUGGGCGUAAAGCGCACGUAGGCGGUUCGUUAAGUCAGAUGUGAAAGCCCCAAGCUCAACUUGGGAAGUGCAUUUGAAACUGGCGGGCUUGAAUAUGGAAGAGGGUCGCGGAAUUCCCGGUGUAGAGGUGAAAUUCGUAGAUAUCGGGAGGACACCAGUGGCGAAGGCGGCGCCUGGGCCAAUAUUGACGCUGAGGUGGCGAAAGCGUGGGAGCAACAGG